ensembl:lncRNA
CCACCGCCCUCGCUGGCCCAGGAACCCCCGCAGAGGCUAACGCGCACAUGGCGCGGUGGAGCUCGUACCCGAGGCCAAGCGUGGCCGGAGGCGGAUCGGGCGGAGCGCGAGGAUGAAGUGCACGCGCCUGGACCACUGUUGGGAAAAGUGGCCUCUCCUCGCUCCACGCUUUGCUGCCGACUCCCCCGGAGCCCUCCCACUGCGCUCCCGUUGUCUGGCCGAGGGCCCAUGUCGCACAGAGGUGGACACCUGCCCUCGGGCCGUUGGGAGCGCACCUGCUCCGCAGUGAAGCUGGGCCGGCACAUCCCGACCUGAGCAGAGGUGGCUGUGAAAGUCAUCCUGAAGGAGGAGUGCAUCUUCUCCAGAACGAAGGGACUUUUCUGUGAAGUCCACAGCCUGAAGCCCUUGUGUCACCGAACAUCGGCGAGUUGUUUGAAGUGACUGACACAGAGAAAAUGUUUUAUCUCAUCACCGAGGAUGUUCUCAGGGGAGACCUGUACCAUCACCUGGUUGAGCACGGCCCCAUGACAGAGGAGGAGGCCCGAGGAACGUUCCUGCAGCAACUCUGGGCUAUCCAGUGCUGCCAUCACAAAGGCAUCGUGCACGGGGACCUGAGGCUGGGGGAAUGCUGCUUGAUGCUGAGCUCAGCGUGAAGCUGGCGGACGUUCCACAGGCUAAGCACGGGCUGCAGCAGCCCCUGGGGUACGACCUGGAGGUCGUCCAGGGCCGGACUACGACAGCCCCCUGGCAGACGUCUGGAGCCUCGGCGGCUUCUGUGUGCCAUGCUCACAGGGUCCCUGCCCUUCCCAGGAGACGACUAUGGGGUGGGGUGGUGGGUGCUGAGCGGGUGGUACCCACCCCCCAUGCCCCUGUCUUACAAGGGCAGGAAGCUCCUGCAAUAACUGGUGACUCUCGACCACAGCAAGAGGAGCUUGAGAGACAUCCUGAAGGACCAUAUGGGCUGGGUCAAUAUGGGCCAGAGGAGACCCAGGCCUUACAGGGAGCUGCCUGUGACAGUGGGGCCCCUGGGUGACACACGUAGUGAGGAACAUGGGCUUUGGGAGGGACGCGAACCAAGAUUCCUUACAAAGAAGGAGACGUGACGAUAUCAUGGCGACCUCCCUCAUCCUGAGUGCCCAGAAGCCCCAGGUGGAGGGCCACACCAUCCGUGUAGACCUUACAUCCCUCCCAUCGACCCCAACAGCUGCACCUUUUUCCCACACUGUGCGGUGCAGCUGGAGGUCUCUGGGUCCCCAUGAAACACCAUCACAGCGAGCCUGUUGUCCCGCUUGGCUCCGCAAGGCGGAGGAUCAGUGGCCUGGGGAGAAUCGGGAGUUGGGACCAAAGGCCAAAGGGCCUGCCCAUCCCCUACCCGGCCCAGAGUCGAGGACUGACCACCACCUCAGCCCAACCCUCCAGCCUGGCCCUGGGGCCUCCACCUCCACCAGCAGCAGCAGUGGGGCCAGGGAACCAGCUCCCCCAGGGUGUUUCCUGCGGGGCUGCUCCCCGCAUGCUGGGCAGCCUGAUGGGGCCACCGGCCUCUUGUUCCAGCUGCAGCCAGGCCGGCGGGUGGGGGGCCAGCACGGGCCGCUGGGAGAUUCUUCAACUUGAUAAGACGCUUGUGUUCCUGUCUCCCUAGCAAGAAAAGGAUCUCUAGUGUAAAUUAAACUGCUCAACAUGUCGAAGAUGCUGUGAAAGGGUACGUAGUUGCUUUGUUCUUCAUUUGUUUACACUGUCUGCAAAGUCUUUGAGUUUAAAAUAAGAUGUAUUAAUGGAAAAUUGGAGGUUCAGUGAGGCCAACAGACCAGGAGAUGACACCAUUGACAAGAUGGUUUGUUACUCACAAUUCCCGAGGAGGGGGCAUGCCACACGGGGCCACACAGGCCACACGGGAAGCACGGGGUGGUCAGAGGCAGAGGGAGCAGGGGCUGUGGGUAGAAGCCUUUCCUGCGGGUUCUGCAGGAAGGAACAGUGAGGAAGGUGAGCAGGCUCAGGACUGGCUGGUCUGAAUAACUUCACAGGCUCUGGGGCACGGGGCUGUCCCAGGUGUCUCGUGCCCGCCUGGGUGACAGGGGCAGGGGGACAGUGGUCGGAGUGUGCAUGUCCAGUAGAGGAAGUGGUUGGGGUGUGGAUGGACCCUGGAUUGGUUGGUGUGUAUUUGAAAAGUGGGCCCAAGAAGGAGGGGUCUUCCUGGCAGGGGCGGCAAUAAGGGAGGCAGAAGGCCGAGAGGAGGGUUCAGGACAAGGCGUGUCCCGCGUACGCACGCACGCGGGAUGGAUGUUAAAGCACC